rnacentral:lncRNA from 1 species
CUCGUAAAGCAGACUUACAGACUAGAAACGUCCUCCGGGGCUAAAAGCUGCCGUGAGCAGCUUGACUGGACCCAGGAGGCGUUGUACAUGACAGCGCGAUAACAGUAAACGUUUCGGUACAAACCUAAAACGAAAAUUUGACAUUCAGGUACAUGCUUUACGACAGGAUGUUUAACAUUCAACAAGAGACAUUGUUGUGCAAA